UACGGAAGGCAGCAGUGGGGAAUAUUGGACAAUGGGCGCAAAGCCUGAUCCAGCCAUGCCGCGUGUGUGAAGAAGGCCUUUUGGUUGUAAAGCACUUUAAGCGAGGAGGAGGCUCUCUUAGUUAAUACCUAAGAUGAGUGGACGUUACUCGCAGAAUAAGCACCGGCUAACUCUGUGCCAGCAGCCGCGGUAAUACAGAGGGUGCGAGCGUUAAUCGGAUUUUACUGGGCGUAAAGCGUGCGUAGGCGGCUUUUUUAAGUCGGAUGUGAAAUCCCCGAGCUUAACUUGGGAAUUGCAUUCGAUACUGGGAAGCUAGAGUAUGGGAGAGGAUGGUAGAAUUCCAGGUGUAGCGGUGAAAUGCGUAGAGAUCUGGAGGAAUACCGAUGGCGAAGGCAGCCAUCUGGGCCUAAUCUGACGCUGAGGUCGAAAGCAUGGGGA
rnacentral:rRNA from 1 species